CGACAGCUAUACAUGCAAGUCGAACGCUUCUUUUUCCACCGGAGCUUGCUCCACCGGAAAAAGAGGAGUGGCGAACGGGUGAGUAACACGUGGGUAACCUGCCCAUCAGAAGGGGAUAACACUUGGAAACAGGUGCUAAUACCGUAUAACAAUCGAAACCGCAGGGUUUUGAUUUGAAAGGCGCUUUCGGGUGUCGCUGAUGGAUGGACCCGCGGUGCAUUAGCUAGUUGGUGAGGUAACGGCUCACCAAGGCGACGAUGCAUAGCCGACCUGAGAGGGUGAUCGGCCACAUUGGGACUGAGACACGGCCCAAACUCCUACGGGAGGCAGCAGUAGGGAAUCUUCGGCAAUGGACGAAAGUCUGACCGAGCAACGCCGCGUGAGUGAAGAAGGUUUUCGGAUCGUAAAACUCUGUUGUUAGAGAAGAACAAGGAUGAGAGUAACUGUUCAUCCCUUGACGGUAUCUAACCAGAAAGCCACGGCUAACUACGUGCCAGCAGCCGCGGUAAUACGUAGGUGGCAAGCGUUGUCCGGAUUUAUUGGGCGUAAAGCGAGCGCAGGCGGUUUCUUAAGUCUGAUGUGAAAGCCCCCGGCUCAACCGGGGAGGGUCAUUGGAAACUGGGAGACUUGAGUGCAGAAGAGGAGAGUGGAAUUCCAUGUGUAGCGGUGAAAUGCGUAGAUAUAUGGAGGAACACCAGUGGCGAAGGCGGCUCUCUGGUCUGUAACUGACGCUGAGGCUCGAAAGCGUGGGGAGCAAACAGGAUUAGAUACCCUGGUAGUCCACGCCGUAAACGAUGAGUGCUAAGUGUUGGAGGGUUUCCGCCCUUCAGUGCUGCAGCUAACGCAUUAAGCACUCCGCCUGGGGAGUACGACCGCAAGGUUGAAACUCAAAGGAAUUGACGGGGGCCCGCACAAGCGGUGGAACAUGUGGUUUAAUUCGAAGCAACGCGAAAAACCUUACCAGGUCUUGACAUCCUUUGACCACUCUAGAAAUAGAGCUUCCCCUUCGGGGGCAAAGUGACAGGUGGUGCAUGGUUGUCUUCACCUCCUGUCGUGAAAUGUUGGGUUAAGUCCCGCAACGAGCGCAACCCUUAUUGUUAGUUGCCAUCAUUUAGUUGGGCACUCUAGCAAGACUGCCGGUGACAAACCGGAAGAAAGGUGGGGAUGAACUU
rnacentral:rRNA from 1 species